rnacentral:rRNA from 1 species
GAGUUUGAUCAUGGCUCAGGAUGAACGCUAGCGGCAGGCUUAAUACAUGCAAGUCGAGGGGCAGCAUGGUGUAGCAAUACACUGAUGGCGACCGGCAAACGGGUGCGGAACACGUACGCAACCUUCCCAAAAUUGGUGAAUAGCCCUCCGAAAGGAGGAUUAAUACACCGUAACAUAUAGAGAUGGCAUCACCUUUAUAUUAUAGCUCCGGCGAUUUUGGAUGGGCGUGCGACUGAUUAGGUAGUUGGCGGGGUAACGGCCCACCAAGCCUACGAUCAGUAACUGGUGUGAGAGCACGACCAGUCACACGGGCACUGAGACACGGGCCCGACUCCUACGGGAGGCAGCAGUAAGGAAUAUCGGUCAAUGGACGAAAGUCUGAACCAGCCAUGCCGCGUGAAGGAUGAAGGUCCUCUGGAUUGUAAACUUCUUUUAUAUGGGACGAAAAAAGGGAAUUUUUUACUCACUUGACGGUACCAUAGGAAUAAGCACCGGCUAACUCCGUGCCAGCAGCCGCGGU